UCAACACUUAGAGUUAAACCUUUAAACAUUUAGGUCGAUCGAAUAGAUUUUUUACAGGUACAUUAGACUAACUAAUUAAGUUCUCAAAAAUGGGUUUUGAAUUAUGUAAUAAUUUUAAGUUGUUUGAGACUUCGAUAAAUAUAAUGAGAAGAGAAGGUGAGGUGGACAUAAUCAAAUAAUUAAUAUAUAUAUACUACUAAGUUUUACUAUAUCAAAUAAUAUAGAAACCAACCCACCCACCCAAGUAGCCACCACAAAGAAACUUUCGAAAAGAAAAAAAAAAUCAUAAUGAGCUAAAUUAUUCCACAUGCUAUUGGAUAAAUAUAAGAUUAUUGUUGACAGCAUACUUAUUUGGAAUUCUUCUUUCCCUCGAUUGCUAUAAUAAUACUUCUAAGACCAAAAAAAAAAAAAACAAAAACAAAGGACCUGAUAGAGAGGAAAGAGCGAGCGUUUGAUUGCAUGAGACACCAGUUUUGGUGGCAAGAAAGUCCACCAAUCAGAGAUCUUAGGUUAGUAUGAAUUGGAAUAUAACUAUAACACCUAAUAAGGAUUAAUUAUUG
rnacentral:lncRNA from 1 species